rnacentral:rRNA from 1 species
UACGGAGGGUGCAAGCGUUGUUCGGAAUCACUGGGCGUAAAGGGCGCGUAGGCGGCCGCAUUAGUCUGAUGUGAAAGCCCGGGGCUCAACUCCGGAAGUGCAUUGGAAACUGUGCGGCUUGAGUUCGGGAGAGGAAGGCAGAAUUCCCGGUGUAGGGUUGAAAUCCGUAGAUAUCGGGAGGAAAACCGGUGGCGAAGGCGGCCUUCUGGAACGAAACUGACGCUGAGGCGCGAAAGCGUGGGGAGCAAACGGG